rnacentral:tRNA from 1 species
UUAAUUGAAACCAAAUUUAGAGGUAUAUCACUGUUAAUGAUAGAAUUGAACUAAACUCUGUUCCGAUUAAG